UUAUACCGUGAAACUGCGAAUGGCUCAUUAAAUCAGUUAUCGUUUAUUUGAUAGUACCUUACUACUUGGAUAACCGUGGUAAUUCUAGAGCUAAUACAUGCUAAAAACCCCAACUUCGGGAGGGGUGUAUUUAUUAGAUAAAAAACCAAUGCCCUUCGGGGCUCCUUGGUGAAUCAUAAUAACUUAACGGAUCGCAUGGCCUUGCGCCGGCGACGGUUCAUUCAAAUUUCUGCCCUAUCAACUUUCGAUUGUAGGGUAUUGGCCUACAAUGGUAUCAACGGGUAACGGGGAAUUAGGGUUCGAUUCCGGAGAGGGAGCCUGAGAAACGGCUACCACAUCCAAGGAAGGCAGCAGGCGCGCAAAUUACCCAAUCCCGACGCGGGGAGGUAGUGACAAUAAAUACUGAUACAGGGCUCUUUUGGGUCUUGUAAUUGGAAUGAGUACAAUUUAAAUCCCUUAACGAGGAACAAUUGGAGGGCAAGUCUGGUGCCAGCAGCCGCGGUAAUUCCAGCUCCAAUAGCGUAUAUUAAAGUUGUUGCAGUUAAAAAGCUCGUAGUUGAACCUUGGGCCUGGCUGGCCGGUCCGCCUCACCGCGUGCACUGGUCCGGCCGGGCCUUUCCUUCUGGAGAGCCGCAUGCCCUUCACUGGGUGUGUCGGGGAACCAGGACUUUUACUUUGAAAAAAUUAGAGUGUUCAAAGCAGGCCUUUGCUCGAAUACAUUAGCAUGGAAUAAUAGAAUAGGACGUGCGGUCCUAUUUUGUUGGUUUCUAGGACCGCCGUAAUGAUUAAUAGGGAUAGUCGGGGGCAUCAGUAUUCAAUUGUCAGAGGUGAAAUUCUUGGAUUUAUUGAAGACUAACUACUGCGAAAGCAUUUGCCAAGGAUGUUUUCAUUAAUCAGUGAACGAAAGUUAGGGGAUCGAAGACGAUCAGAUACCGUCGUAGUCUUAACCGUAAACUAUGCCGACUAGGGAUCGGGCGAUGUUAUUAUUUUGACUCGCUCGGCACCUUACGAGAAAUC
rnacentral:rRNA from 1 species